CCCUAGCCCCGAUAGUAGUGGAAAUCCUUUUGUGCCGGGGUUCGGCACAAAAGAUUGAAACGGAUAGUGGGAAAUAGC
rnacentral:sRNA from 1 species